rnacentral:rRNA from 1 species
GAUGAACGCUGGCGGCGCGCCUAACACAUGCAAGUCGAACGAUUAAAGCACCUUCGGGUGUGUAUAAAGUGGCGAACGGCUGAGUAACACGUGGGCAACCUGCCCCUUUCAUUGGGAUAGCCACGGGAAACCGUGGAUAAUACCGAAUACUUCGAGACUUCCGCAUGGAAGACUCGAGAAAGCUCCGGCGGGGAGGGAUGGGCCCGCGGCCUGUUAGCUUGUUGGUGGGGUAACGGCCUACCAAGGCAAUGAUGGGUAGCUGGGUUGAGAGACCGACCAGCCAGAUUGGGACUGAGACACGGCCCAGACUCCUACGGGAGGCAGCAGUGGGGAAUAUUGCACAAUGGGCGAAAGCCUGAUGCAGCGACGCCGCGUGCGGGAUGAAGGCCUUCGGGUUGUAAACCGCUUUCAGCAGGGACGAGGCGAAAGUGACGGUACCUGCAGAAGAAGCCCCGGCUAACUACGUG